AUGGCACCUUGAAAGGGGAAGGAAAAGAAGGAAGAACAGGUCAUCAGCCUCAGACCUCAGGUGGCUGAAGGAGAGAAUGUAUUUGGUGUCUGCCAUAUCUUUGCAUCCUUCAAUGACACUUUUGUCCAUGUCACUGAUCUUUCUGGCAAAGAAAUCAUCUGCCGUGUGACUGGUAGGAUGAAGGUGAAGGCAGGUGAGAUGAAUCCUCACCACAUGCUGCUAUGUUGGCUGCCCGGGAUGUGGCCCAGAGCUGGGUAUCACUGCCCUACACAUCGAACUCCGAGCCAUAGGAGGAAGUAGAACCAAGACCCCUGGACCUGGGGCCCAGGUGGCCCUCAGGGCCCUUGCCCGCUCAGGUAUGAAGAUCGGACAGAUUGAGGACGUCACUCCCAACCCCUCUGACAGCACCCGCAGGAAGGGGGGUUGCCAUGGU
rnacentral:lncRNA from 1 species